GUAUAGUAAAAUAUAAUUAUUUGUUUUGCUGAAGUAAUUGUAUAUUAUUCUAAACACACUGUAUUUGGUUGUUGUAGAUGUUCAUCUAUCUCAGAGAGCACUUUUAAAGUUUUACCACCACCUUAUCAGAGUGCUGAAAAGUGGAAGUCAGAGGAAACAUGACCAACUUGCUGCAAAACAAUAACACAAAAGGUCUAGACUAUGGAGUGCAGCAUUACUUGUUUGGUCAUCUACAUUCAGAUGAAAACACCACACUCCUCUCUAAUUCAAGAUGUCAAGCCUACUCAUCGCAAGGAGAGUUAGCAUCAAAAUGGAUGUGUCACUGAC